AACGAACGCUGGCGGCAGGCUUAACACAUGCAAGUCGAACGCAUCCUUCGGGGUGAGUGGCAGACGGGUGAGUAACGCGUGGGAACGUGCCCUUCAGUUUGGAAUAACCCAGGGAAACUUGGGCUAAUACCGGAUACGCCCGCAAGGGGAAAGAUUUAUCGCUGAAGGAUCGGCCCGCGUCUGAUUAGCUGGUUGGUGAGGUAAUGGCUCACCAAGGCGACGAUCAGUAGCUGGUCUGAGAGGAUGAUCAGCCACAUUGGGACUGAGACACGGCCCAAACUCCUACGGGAGGCAGCAGUGGGGAAUAUUGGACAAUGGGCGCAAGCCUGAUCCAGCCAUGCCGCGUGAGUGAUGACGGCCUUAGGGUUGUAAAGCUCUUUCGCACGCGACGAUAAUGACGGUAGCGUGAGAAGAAGCCCCGGCUAACUUCGUGCCAGCCGCCGCAGUAAGAC
rnacentral:rRNA from 1 species